UUAAAUUGAAGAGUUUGAUCAUGGCUCAGAUUGAACGCUGGCGGCAGGCCUAACACAUGCAAGUCGAACGGUAACAGGAAACAGCUUGCUGUUUCGCUGACGAGUGGCGGACGGGUGAGUAAUGUCUGGGAAACUGCCUGAUGGAGGGGGAUAACUACUGGAAACGGUAGCUAAUACCGCAUAACGUCGCAAGACCAAAGAGGGGGACCUUCGGGCCUCUUGCCAUCGGAUGUGC
rnacentral:rRNA from 1 species